rnacentral:rRNA from 1 species
CUCAAGGGAACUCAGCAGUGAUAAACAUUAAGCCAUGAGUGAAAACUUGACUUAGUUAAAGCUAAGAGGGCCGGUAAAACUCGUGCCAGCCACCGCGGUUAUACGAGAGGCCCAAGUUGACAAACACCGGCGUAAAGAGUGGUUAAGUUAUAAACCUCAUACUAAAGCCAAACAUCUUCAAGGCUGUUAUACGCAACCGAAGACAGGAAGUUCAACCACGAAAGUGACUUUAUUUGAUCUGAACCCACGAAAGCUAAGGAACAAACUGGGAUUAGAUACCCCACUAUGCCUAGCCCUAAACAUUGAUAGUACUAUACACCCACUAUCCGCCCGGGAACUACGAGCAAUAGCUUAAAACCCAAAGGACUUGGCGGUGCUUUAGAUCCACCUAGAGGAGCCUGUUCUAGAACCGAUACCCCCCGUUCAACCUCACCCUUCCUUGUUUAACCCGCCUAUAUACCGCCGUCGUCAGCUUACCCUGUGAGGGGCCAAUAGUAAGCAAAACUGGUACAACCUAAAACGUCAGGUCGAGGUGUAGCGUAUGGAGGGGGAAGAAAUGGGCUACAUUCGCUACUACAGCGAACACGAAUGAUGUCCUGAAACGUACAUCUGAAGGAGGAUUUAGCAGUAAGCAGGAAAUAGAGCGUCCCGCUGAAACUGGCCCUGAAGCGCGCACACACCGCCCGUCACUCUCCCCAAAAACACCAAUCAACUAAUUAAAACCUAAUAAUUUAAA